AUUGAACGCUGGCGGCAGGCCUAACACAUGCAAGUCGAGCGGAUGAAUGGAGCUUUCUCCUGGAUUCAGCGGCGGACGGGUGAGUAAUGCCUAGGAAUCUGCCUGGUCUUGGGGGAUAACGUCCGUAAACGGGCGCUAAUACCGCAUACGUCCUGAUUGAGAAAGUGGGGGUUCUUCGGACCUCACGCUAUCAGCUGAGCCUAGGUCGGAUUAGCUAGUUGGUUGGGUAAAGGCCUACCAAGGCGACGAUCCGUAACUGGUCUGAGAGGAUGAUCAGUCACACUGGAACUGAGACACGGUCCAGACUCCUACGGGAGGCAGCAGUGGGGAAUAUUGGGCAAUGGGCGAAAGCCUGAUGCAGCCAUGCCGCGUGUGUGAAGAAGGUCUUCGGAUUGUAAAGCACUUUAAGUUGGGAGGAAGGGCAGUAAGUUAAUACCUUGCUGUUUUGACGUUACCAACAGAAUAAGCACCGGCUAACUUCGUG
rnacentral:rRNA from 1 species